GAUCUUGUCUGUUGUUGGGCUUCUUCAGGAUGAACUUGAUCCUAUGGUUUCUGUCAUGAAAGUUGAAAAAGCUCAUUUGGAAUCUUAUGCUGAUAUUGGUGGCUUAGAUGCACAAAUUCAAUAAAUUAAAGACGCUGUUGAACUUCCUCUUACUCAUCCUGAGCUGUAUGAAGAUAUUGGAAUUAGGCUUCCCAAGGGAGUUAUACCAUAUGGGGAGCCUGGAACUGAGAAAACUUUACUUGCCAAGGCUGUGGCUAACUCAAUUUCAGCAACUUUCUUACAUGUUUUUGGAAGUGAGUUGAUUCAGAAAUAUUUGGGUGAUGGCCCAAAACUUGUUAGAGAACUGUUUAGAGUGGCAGAUGAACUUUCUCCUUCGAUAGUCUUUAUUGAUGAGAUAGAAGCAGUUGGCACCAAAAGGUCAGUCGAUGAGAAAUAAAAGUCCCACGUUUUUCUUUCUCUUGUAUGUAAAUCAUAGUUAAAAUUAUCAGACUAUUCUAUCUGACCAAUUUUAGAUAUGAUGCUCAUUCUGGUGGUGAGCGUGAAAUACAGAGAACCAUGUUGGAGUUGCUGAACCAGUUAAAUGGUUUUGACUCAAGGGGGGAUGUUAAGGUCUUGCAACCAACAGAAUUGAAAGCCUUGAUCUAGCCUUGCUUCGGCCUGGUCAUAUUGAUGGGAAGAUUGAAUUCCCGCUGCCAGACAUUAAAACUAGACAUCGUAUAUUUCAGAUACAUACCUCUGCAAUGACGCUGGCCAAUAAUGUCAACCUGGAAGAAUUUGUCAUGACGAAGGACGAGUUGUCUGGAGUUGAUAUCAAGACAAUCUUUACUGAAUCUGGCUUGCUUGCUUUAAGAGAGCGUAGGAUG